CGCAUAUUGCGCCCCCUGGUAUUCCGGAGGGUAUGCCUGUCCGAGCGUCAUUACCAAUCUCAAGCCCGGCUUGAUGGUGGGUUCCACCGCCCCGGCGGUCGGCCCGAAAGAUAGUAACGGGCCUCGUAUCUCGUGGAUGCAGCGAGCUUUUGAAGCACGCGUCCCGGCGAUGCGAGGCGCGUCUCAACCCCAUCUCAGGUUGACCUCGGAUCAGACAGGGUUACCCGCUGAACUUAA
rnacentral:misc_RNA from 1 species